AUGUUACGCAGUGAGAUAAGAGCUGCUCAUUUGAGUGGUGAUUGUCAUUAUAAACGGGAACUUUUGCGAGGCUUUUUGAGGAUAAAAGGGCAUGAACAAGAAUGCAUCAAAAGAAGAGUUAUGAAGUCAUUGGCUGCAAAUCCGUUUUGUUCUGGUUCGACUGCCAAGGAUUCUAUGGAUGCUGUAUGGAAUACUUGUUAUAACGAUACGGCGCCAUUUGAGAAAGCUCCUUGA